rnacentral:lncRNA from 1 species
GUCCCGUCCGCGCAGCGCGUCCGGCCCGCCCGCAGGCCAGCUUCUCUCGGGAGCCCCCACCCAGGCGCAUGGCUCCAUGAAGCAAGAGGAGGAGGCAGAGCGCGAGAGGUCCCGUCCGCCCCAGCCGCGUCUGGGCCAGGAUAAAAGCAAAACCAUAUUCCUGCUGCUGUCAGUUAUGAUGCACUGAGAAAACUUCAGAGACCUAAACUUUUUCCAGAGAAGAGAAGCUUUACUGGUGUUCCAGCCCUAAGAAACCUUUGUUCAAGAAAACGGCAGAUGCUCUGUUGAAUCCACUGGAGAUUGUUCUGAUACUAAGGACAAGUAUCAACCAUCUUUCCUGUGAAAAAUUCCCUCUCGUACUUUAGUUCUGUGGAUCCAAAAUUUAUAGCAUUCUUCUACCACCACAGGGGCUCAUAUGACAUUAACAGACAAGACACUUUUCAGAAAGACAGGUAAGUCAUUUGUUAAAAUCUCACUACUGUUGUUUAACAGAAACAUAUAUAUGCAUGUAUAUGUGUGUACUGUAUGGAAAAAGUGGAAUUAGAGUUUAUCUAGAAAAGAAAAAAUUACCUCAUCUAAGUGCAGAAAUGAAUAAUACUUAAACCAUACCAUACAAUUCUCUAUCAUAUUUCCACAGAUAAGUCAAAAAUUUAAAAAAUCUUAUUGUUCAUGCAUAAAUGCAGAAAACAAUACCUCUAGUAUAUGUUUGUGUUCUAUUGUACUUUCACAGAAGGUGUUUGAUACUUAAUACUGUGUUUAUUAAGAAAAAUCUUUGCAAUGGUUAUGGAAUUAAAAUUUCAUGUAAAAAUGAUUAUGUAGAUCAAGAAAAGUUGCAAUUUUCUGGAUUCCUGAUAUUUUAAAUAAAAGUAGUUUCCAAAGG